rnacentral:rRNA from 1 species
GAUGAGCGCUGGCGGCGUGCUUAACACAUGCAAGUCGAACGGAAAGGCCCAAGCUUGCUUGGGUACUCGAGUGGCGAACGGGUGAGUAACACGUGGGUGAUCUGCCCUGCACUUCGGGAUAAGCCUGGGAAACUGGGUCUAAUACCGGAUAGGACCACUUCUUGGAUGUUGUGGUGGAAAGUUUUUUCGGUGUGGGAUGAGCUCGCGGCCUAUCAGCUUGUUGGUGGGGUAAUGGCCUACCAAGGCGUCGACGGGUAGCCGGCCUGAGAGGGUGUACGGCCACAUUGGGACUGAGAUACGGCCCAGACUCCUACGGGAGGCAGCAGUGGGGAAUAUUGCACAAUGGGCGCAAGCCUGAUGCAGCGACGCCGCGUGGGGGAUGACGGCCUUCGGGUUGUAAACUCCUUUCGCUAGGGACGAAGCGUUUUGUGACGGUACCUGGAGAAGAAGCACCGGCUAACUACGUG